CAGCGAGGAGACGUAACGUCGGAGCGCUGAAGAAGACACAGGUGGUGCAGCAAGAUGCCAAGAGGGUUGGGUCAGAAGGUUGUGGAAGGUUUGAAAUGUUCCCCUUGAUGAUGAGGAUUUGGUGAAGAAGUAAUCCUCUCUCUGUAAUUAUGCCAUCAUGCCAAAUUAUAGGUAAAUUUAUAAGGGGGCAUCGGGUGGGAAUUGGUGAAAGGAUUGUAACAGUGUUUGAGGAACAUACAUGAGUAAGAAUCUCUUCAAGAGAUGUUCCAUUAAAAUGUCUAGCAAUGUGAAUGGCGCAGACGCCAGAGUCAUUCCUGAUUGACAAAAAAUGGAUGAAUUAAAUUGAGCAUCCUGUCCACGUGAUUGGAAAAGAUGAAAAUAAAUAACUUACUUUGGGCA